rnacentral:rRNA from 1 species
UACAGAGGGUGCGAGCGUUAAUCGGAAUUACUGGGCGUAAAGCGCACGUAGGCGGCUUUGCAAGUCAGGUGUGAAAUCCCCGGGCUUAACCUGGGAACUGCAUUUGAGACUGCAUUGCUAGAGUAUGGGAGAGGGAAGUGGAAUUUCAGGUGUAGCGGUGAAAUGCGUAGAUAUCUGAAGGAACAUCAGUGGCGAAGGCGGGUCUCUGGGCCGAUACUGACGCUGAGGAGCGAAAGCGUGGGGAGCGAACAGG